CCUGCAGCCGGUGCAGCUCCCCCCCGUGGGGCAUAACCUGCAGGUGGUGCAGCUCCCCCCCGUGGGGCAGCUCCCCCACACCGCUCUUCCCUGUGCCCCUGUCUGCCAGUGCGGACAGCCCAUGGUGACGGGGACACUGGUGCCCCACCAUGCGCUGGGGCUGGGGCCCAGGGCCGUGCUCCACGGGGAGCCCCUGCACCCCGCAGGCACCUGCCUGUUGCAGGCCCCCGCCCACCGCAGGCCCCCGCCACCCCUCGUCCCGGGGCCUCGGCUCCGGGGGCAGGCGCUCCCCACGCCCCGCACCGUGACCAGCAGCCAGGGGCAGCUGCCGGAGCCCUGCGACCACGCCGUGGGGCUCAGCGAGGACCAGGGGCCCCCGCUGCCUGACCCCACUCCCCCCGAGCCUUUCCUGGCUCCAUCGACCCGCAGCACCCAGACGGCGACGCCCGACGCGGCGACAGCCCCGCAGGUGCCUGAGGAGCCCCCGCAGCUGCCCGAGCUGGGCCCUGAUGCCUUCGCCGAGGCCUUUCCAGAGCUGGCAGGGGACAGCCAGCUGCUGCAGCACCUGCAGGACCAGCUCCUGGCCGACCUGGACAUCCCCGGCACGGAGGAGCUGUUCAGCUGGCUCGAGGCCGUGGAGCCCCAGGACGCCUUCCCCGAUUCGCCCAGCAGUCCUGCCCUCAGCCGCCUCCUCUCCCAGCUGCCCGACCUCUCCGAGGACAUCGAGGAGCCGAGCACGCAGGGACUGGAAGCCACAGGAGCCCUCGGUGAGCACCCCCAGGACAGCGGAGAGCUCCCAGCCCAAGAGGCCAGCAACGGAGAAACCCCCUGGCAAGGACAGGAAGAUGCUGCUGGGCCAGGGUGUCCAAGGCCCCGAGACGCCUUGCCAGGGACGCCGUGCCAGGGACGCCAGGAUGUCCAAGGCCCCAGGACGCCGUGGCAGCAGCAGGAAAGACGGCAGCGGCAGGCAGCAGCCAGCGACCAACAACAGCCGGGCGCCCAGCAAGAGAGCCCGAAGCCCGGGGGCUGCUGGGGGGCAAGGAGCAGCGUCGCCGCCUCCCCGCAGAGCGCGGCUGCUGCCGGAGACUCCGAGCGCGGAGCCCGGUGCCGUGCGGCCCCAGGACAGCCUCUGUCCCCAAGGCGUCAGGGCCAAGACGCUGCAGCGCCAGCGCCGGGGCACAAAGACCCCCAGCGAGACUUUGCAGCCGCUGGGGGCCAGGGCGAAGGCGCUGGGGCCAGGGCGCCAGCUGCCCUGCGUGCAGCCGCAGCCCACCUCCAGCAGCCCCAGCACGAUGCCCAGCGCCGCGCAGACAGUGCCAGCUGUGCCCGCUGCCCCCCAAUCCCCAGCUGGCGGCAAAGAGAAGGUGGUGCCGGCACCACCAGGCAGCACGGCGUGAACAGGGGACGCUGCCCUAGAGCAGGCGCCCAGAGCGCUGUGCCUGCCAGCCGCGGGGGGCCAAGCGCAGCGGGGGGCUCUGCCCACACAGCCGCGCAUGCUGCAGCCCCUGGCACGGCCCCGCGUGGACUACGUGCCCUGCGUGGGGCCCUGGGCAGGCGGUGACGCGGCGCCCACGCCGCUGGAGGAGCAGGAGGAGCCGGUGCCCAUCACGCUGCAGCAGCGUCCCGAGCGGGAGCGCCUGAAGCAGCUGGCCCAGGAGGAGCGGCAGCGGGCGGCCCACCAGAUGAAGAUCGNNNNNNNNNNNNNNNNNNNNUGCCCAAUUCCCCACUGAGUCCCCUCAAGAGCCCCCUGGCUGCCCCUGUGUCCACCGGCACCAAGCGGGGGACCAAGCGCCCCGUGCCCACCAGCACCCCUGGGACAGCGGAGAGCUCUCAGCACAAGAGGCUGAUGACAGAGAAACCCCCGGCAAGGAGAGGAAGAUGCUGCUGGGCCAGGGUGUCCACGGCCACAAGAUGCCAUGCCAGGGGAAGACGGGUGGUGACAGUACCAUGGCUGGCAGGAGCAGGCAAGUGGCAGCGGCACGGAGCAGUCGGCGAUCAGCAGCACCAUGGCACCCAGCAAGAGAGCCCGAAGCCCAGGGGCUGCUGGGGGGCAAGAAGCAGCAUUGCCGCCCCCCUGCAGAGGAUCGGCCCCGUUCAAUUCUUCGUGCAGCAGCAGAAGGACCACGUCAUAGCCAAGUAUUAUGGCUACCCAUGACCCUGCACUCCUUGACGGCCCCCGCAGCACCCAGACCCGCUCAGGACGCAGGCGCAGAGACCUCUGCAGGCAUCUGCUUCAGCUUCAGCCACACUCUUCAGCCCUCUCACUUGCCCUUUCCCUUCUUUAGUGCUGUAGCUAAUUAGUGUUUCGCAUUCCUUUUUGUCACUCCUGGCAUCCCAUGCCAGCACCAGCACCACCACCUGCAUCUCUGCCCAACACUGGCAACAGCAUCCCCACCACCUGCAUCCUUAGCCUGGGCUGGCAGUGGCUCUCCCAGUGUCGUUGCCAUGGACCCACCUGCAGCCGAGCUGGGAGCUGCACGGUCACCCCUCGGGUGCAGAGCAGGAGGACAAAACAGCCCCCAGCCAUUCAUGCCCACCUGUGGUGCAGGAUGGGGCACGAC
ensembl:lncRNA